AUGAGAUCUUCUGCUCCUUCUUCCAUUACUGCUUACUAUUUGGAGGAUGUAAUUUGCCCAGACACUCAUCUUGAUGCUGUGUCAUUUUUCUCUUGGAUAGUGUCUGCACUACAAUAUGCAAGAGGGCCAGGAAGAGAGUUCACAAACUUUACCCUAUUAUGCAUCUGUUGGCUACACCUCGUUCUACAUGAAACAAGACAAAUCUUGCCAAAUUUCCAAGACAGAUCUGUUCUGCCAGAGACCGCUUCACUUAGGAUCAGAGCAAGGAACUGGUCAUUGAGAGUUAUUUACUUAGCAGCAUUAUUAUAACCAAGGGGAUCAAGAUUCACUCUGGAAAUAAUGAUGAAUAUAAAUUUAUCAUAACAGAAUGGUGAUGCAGAUUUUUUCUUGUAUCAACUACCACCCAAAAGAUAAACAUAAGUUAAUAUAUCUGACAACUCUCUUGCUUAAGACUCCUCUAGUUUAAGCCCUUUCACCACCAGUUGGGAUGAUUAUAUCCUUUUGAGGGGAGAGAGAGUCCAUGUACUUCGUCAGUGACUCAAUAGAAGCUAAAAGAAAAAUGGGAAGAAGUCAUUUUCCACAAAUCAGUGUUUUUUUGGCCCUGACCCACUUAACAGACAGCAGUUUCCCUUCUGCUUUGCCGGUAGUUCUCAAAGUGAAUAGAAGCAGGAAAGGCCUUGGGACUCUUAGAGGGAUCAUAGGAUUCAGUUCACCUGUGAAUUUGUCCUGUUAGAAACUUAAGCCAUUUGAACCUCACGUAGUCCAGUAGCCUGAGUGCCUGGUUAAUGGCAGCUACUGUGGCAAAUUUCUUUGCUUUCUCAAUUUUUUUAAAAUUUUUUUUUAUUUUUUAUUUUUUAUUUUUUUUAUUUGGGGGGGGGAAGAAGGGGAGGCUGGGUUUUAUGUUUUUCUCUUAAAUCUACGUAUCUUAAAUCUACGUAGUGUGUCUAACUCCUCGUGAAACCGCAAAUGAAAAUGCUGAAAUGGCUAACAUCUGGAUUAGUCUUCUGGGCAAAUACAUUGGCCAAGUUCUCAGUUCCCUGUUUCAGAGGAGAUUGGUGGAUAUAAGAUGCAUUUCUGUGUUUUUUCUUCUCUAAACUUUCAGCAGUUAUCAUGAUCAUUUGCAUAACAUUUAACCACUGUUUGCGUGGCUAUUGUGUCCCUGAGGGUUGCUUUGUGUAAACACAAUCUGUGUCACAGUCUUGGAAUGGAGAAGAGAAAAACAGCUUUUUCCUUUCAUGCAGAUAACCGUCUCCAUAGUAGCUCUGCAGCUGCCUGGAGUAUCUGUUGCGGUCAGCAGCAACUGGUACUACUAUUAGCUAAGGAGUAAAAUUGUAAAUCUAUAGGGAUGCGGUUAUAUGAGACUAACUGAGCCUGUGUAACAGCUUACAGCUGGUGAGAGGAACAGUCUUGUUUCCUCCUCAACAGCUUUUUAACAUGUUUCUUAUUCUCAUCUGCUCUCCUUUCUUCCUAUUGCACUCCCAGGUACUUCAGACUUUCGGGCUAUAUAUUUUCUAGUAAAUUAUAUUUGCCCAGACCAUAUUCUGGCCAAGACAUAACUCCCUUCCCAUUAGUCACUCCCUGGAACCUUCUGGCAUUUGGUGGCCACAUGCAAGCUGCCUGUGGGGAAUGGUUUGGUGAUUUUGCAGCUGCAUCUGGGAAUUGCUGGAGGACAAGUAGUUAACCUGGGCCAGAACCACGUCGGGGUCAUUAUAACAAUUUACUGUGGACAGUGUGAACAAUUCAGUUUCAGAACUUGUGAGUGUUUUCUUGGUACUAUUUAAUAUAAUUCCUGUAACACUGUGAGCUCACCGCUCUCAGUGAAGUAGUGGGAAACCGGCUCAGCCAAAGAGGAAGAAGAUGCAUUUUGACAGGCUAGAGAGUUACAUGAGCUCUUCAUGGAUCACAGAAAGGGUAAGGGCAAAAGUACAUAUCCAAGAACAGAGAGGGAGAGGUGGAAAAGAAAGCAAAGACUUGACUUUUUCCGGUAUUAGUUCUGGCUGCCUUAUUGAACAGUGCUCUCUUUAAUGGUAUAGUUAUGUGUAUAAAGGUACCUAGGGAUGGAUUCCUUGUCUUGCAGUGACGUUGACCAAAGAGAUCUGCAGCCCAGUGCGAACAUCUCACUGCCAUUUUUUCUGGAGAUCCGACCUGCCAACUACUUUUUGCAAGAAAUUCCUCCUUUCAGUCAAAAUAAGCCCAUUAAUGGCUGUAAACUAAUCUAGUGUGUUUUGCCUCAAAUGGAUGAGUGAGAGCUCACGCAAACACUUCAAAUGGCAGAUGGAAGAGGUGAUAGCAUUCGGUAAGAUGAGCAGAAUGAGAUGACCCUUCUUUAACCUUUUCAUGUGACAUUUCUGCAACUGAAAGAGAGUGGUGUGUACACAUCCUUCAGAAGAGUUUGUACUCUGCUCUUCAAUCUGAGUCAACAGUUAUGCAUUCAGCUGCAGCACCACUCCAUUAGCAUAGGCAGCUCCCUGCUCUGGGACACAGAUGUUCAGCUGGACUGAGGAACUGCUGAAAAACAAGCUUACAUUCCUGCAUAAAAACAGGUAUUUUUUCAGCAACUUCAGUUUUUCAAUCUAUGUCACCGUUUGAUCACAUAAGAAUAAAGGGCUUAAGUCAGAGCUUUUUGAAAGUACA
rnacentral:lncRNA from 1 species